AGUGAACGCUGGCGGUAGGCCUAACACAUGCAAGUCGAACGGCAGCACAGUAAGAGCUUGCUCUUACGGGUGGCGAGUGGCGGACGGGUGAGGAAUACAUCGGAAUCUACUUUUUCGUGGGGGAUAACGUAGGGAAACUUGCGCUAAUACCGCAUACGACCUACGGGUGAAAGCAGGGGAUCUUCGGACCUUGCGCGAUUGAAUGAGCCGAUGUCGGAUUAGCUAGUUGGCGGGGUAAAGGCCCACCAAGGCGACGAUCCGUAGCUGGUCUGAGAGGAUGAUCAGCCACACUGGAACUGAGACACGGUCCAGACUCCUACGGGAGGCAGCAGUGGGGAAUAUUGGACAAUGGGCGCAAGCCUGAUCCAGCCAUACCGCGUGGGUGAAGAAGGCCUUCGGGUUGUAAAGCCCUUUUGUCGGGAAAGAAAAGCAGCAGGUUAAUACCCCGCUGUUCUGACGGUACCCAAAGAAUAAGCACCGGCUAACUUCGUG
rnacentral:rRNA from 1 species